rnacentral:lncRNA from 1 species
GCGUCUUGGAGUACUGAUCGGGUUUCACCCCCAUUAAUAUGAAUGUAAAUUGAUACUGUAGGAUGAUCGAUUGAUCAAGGAUUGGUGAAGCUAUGAUCCACAGCUUGUUGUAGUGAAUUAGAGAUGAUUGAAGGUUGAAUCUGGGAUUCAAGUUGAUAUAUUGCGGAAACGUGUGGAGACUAUAUGAAAUUGUAGAUCAAGAGUAAUCAAACAGUGUCUGUAAUUGUAUUACAGAGUGUGUGAUUGUGUACUAAUCAAAAUGAUCUAGGGAUGUUUAUAUAGGAGAACACCCAACGGUUAUGUUGGUUGGGUGUAUUUAAUUAUGGUAAUUAUGGAUAUGGGAAUAUGAAAUAUGUAAUUAAUAUAUGAUGAAAUAUUUGAUAUGAGAAUAUGAAUAAUGGAAUGUGAAGAGUUAUGAUGAAAUAAGAGGGGUUGAUUAUAAUAUUUAUUGUAAUGUUACAUGUAUGAUUUAAUUUAAUGUAGGGGUGUAUCUCUAAUAGGAAAAUUAGUUAAUGAUCUUUUCUAUGCAUAUAAAAAAGAGCAAGUAUUAUAAGAAAAAUAGAGGAAAAACUAGUGAUUUUAACUCCAAAUGGAAGGGAUUCAAGCCACAUGGCAGCAAUGACAACUGGAAACAUGGGAGAGAAAGAAAAGAGUCAAGAAGCAAGUACCAAAUUUGUAAGGGAGCAGGGCAUGAGGCAAUCAUAUGCCCAAGAAGAUUUGACCAUGCAGUCCAACCAAAUGAUCUCAAUCACGAAAUGAAUGCACUUAACAUGACAGGACAUACCUCAGUUGAUGAAUGGCUUGCAGAUACAGGUGUUGCAGCUCAUAUGACCAACAAUGAAGGUAAUUUAGAUAUCUUUAAACCUUAUACAGGAAAAAAAAUAUGUUAAAGUAGGAGAUGGAAAAAUAUUAGAGAUUUCACACAAAAGAGAUAAAAUACUGGAAAUAAGCAAAAACAAAAAUAUAAAACUGAAAAAUAUUUUAGUUGCACCUAAAAUUAAAAUGAAUGUUUGAUCUAUAAGUAAAUUAACUAAAGAUCUUCCAUUGAAAUUUGAAUUUGAUUCAAAUUCUUUUGUGAUAAAGAUCUUCUAUAGAAAACUGUGAUAGCCAAGGGCAGGAGAACUAAGAAUGACUUGUACACUCUAAAAGCAAGAGAGAUUGGAUGUCACUCCUUGAAAAUGAAGAAAGGAGAAUAUGAAGCUAUAUGUCAUCAUAGAUUAGGACACCUCAAUAAUCAAACUCUUAGGUUUUUAAAUAGUCAAAAUGUAAUAAAUGUAACUAAGUGGAAUGAAAAAGAACACAGAUGUUUAGGUUGUAUAUAAUGGGAAAAAUAUCAAAAUUACCAUUUACAUUUUCUAAAUCUAUUUCAAAUGAUGUGUUUGAAAAAAUUCAUUGUGAUUUGUGGGGUCCCUUCCCAAUUAGUUCCAAGCUUGGUUAUAGAUUAUGCUUGCUUAAUAGAUAAUAAAUCGAAAUACACCUUGUUUAUUCCUCUAAAAGUCAAAUCUGAUUUUACUAAAGCAUAUCUAAUUUUUGAAAAAUAUAUGUUAAAACAGUUUAAUAAAAAAAUUAAAUUUUUUCAAUGUGAUUGGGGGGAGAGUUCUGUAAUAAAGAAUUAGAAACUCAUUUUAAGAAUGAAGGUAUCAAAAUGCAGAUUUCUUGUCCUUCAACACCUCAACAAAAUAGGGUAGCUGAAAGAAAACAUAGUACAAUAAGAGAACAUGGUCUGUCUCUGCUAUUUUUUAGUAAAAUUCCACAUAUCUAUUGGGUAGAGGCUUUUGAUACAAUUGUCUGCCUAAUGAAUAGGACGCCAUCAGUUCCUCUUGGAAAACUGUCACCCUUUGAAUUUCUAUACAAAAAGAAGGCAGACUAUCAACAUUUGAAAAGUUUUGGCUGUGAAUGUUAUCCUCAUAUCUGGGAUUCAAAAAUAAAUAAAUUUUCUCUAAAAUCAUUAUCAUGUGUAAUGAUUGGCUAUAGUGAAAAAUACAAAGGUUUUAGAUGUCUUAUUAAAAAACUGGAAAAAAUUUAAUUUCAAGAAAUGUAGUUUUUAAUGUGCUCAAAUAUCCAUAAAAGCCAGAGAGUAGUGUAAUCUCUCAACCAGGGAAGAUUAUAAGUUUUUCAAAUGAACAGGUUAUGUACAAUCCAGACCCGCUUUUUUCUUCCUUCUGAAGUAAUUUGACUAAUUUCUCAUCCUCAUAUGCAUUUCCUUCUUCAAUCUUCUGAGAUAUUUAAAGAAAUAGUAAAAAUUCCAAAAACACAUAAAAAAAACACAGUAUAAAUCAAACUUAUUUUAGAUCGAAACAUAGAAAACGGAAAUGGGAAAUUCAGCAGAGCAAGUAAGUGUGUGGACAGAAUAUUUAAAAACAGAGUGAUUAUGUAAAAAAACAUUGAUAAUGAAACAAAAAAUUGCAAACCGAGAGAAGAUUCAUAAUUCAUAAAAAAAAACAGAGAUAAUAGUGAAUUUUGGAUCAUACAUUCAUUGGCAAUGAAAGUGAUAUAUGGAGGGAGUAUUUACCGACUGCAGAAGCAAGAUUUUUUCAUUAUUCUUGUUUAUAUUUACCGAGUUACCGUAUUAGAGUUAUGCGACUUUUACAAACUCAAAAUAGAAAGAGCACGAGUGUAUGACUGGAGUUUCUCCGAAAACCACAGAUCUAGAUCGAAAUAUUCAUAAAAUGUUAGCAUACUGAAACAUGUAAAAAAAAUAGAAAGAUGGCGUAAACCUAGAUAUUAGGAAAGUUUAUAGGAUCGAGCUAGGAAGGUAAAAUAUUAUUACCUUCUAAAAGUUGGUGGUCGGAAUCCGUAAACAACAUACGUACGUUGUAGGAUUGCCUACAACAAUAACAAUGGCGACGACGACAAUGUAGAUCGAGAAUGGUUAAAACAUAGAGAACAUAAGGAAAAUAACAAACCCUAGGUAAAACGAAUGGUGGCGGUGAGAGAUGGUAAGGAGACGAUGAAAAUCGACUCAGAU